rnacentral:lncRNA from 1 species
UUCGCCGGACACGUUAGCACAUUGCUACACCCUCAUAUGUACAACUGGACCAUCCCCUUGUGUCUAUAAAAGGGGAUGCCCAGGGCCUUCGAAAGGAGAGGAGGGGAGCACGGACAGCAAGAACAACGGAGGCGGACUCACUCAAACAUCGAGCUCCACUCCGCAACACUAACUCCUCAGGAGGCCUGGGGCCCGUUCCCUCUCUCGUGAAGCUUGUAACCCCUACUGCAAGCACCUCCGGUACAAGAUAAUAUAAGCUUCAUCCCUCCUCUUGUGUUCCAUCUUGCAUCAACCCAUCUGGACAGGGGCACGCGGCACAAAAUUCACUAGUCGGUCCGGUUGAGGGUCUCCCGGGUCCAAAACGCCGACAAGUCUAUUCCAUAGAAUUUUAUAGAAUUUAUAGAAACUCAGUCCUUUGUUUCAAAGGGCCACCUAUAGGAUUUCAAUGAUUCAAAAUUCCUUCAAUUUUUCUUUGUUCCAAAAAAUGCCACCUAUAGAAUUCCAAUGCUUCAAAAUUACUUCACUUUUCCUUUGUUCCAAAAAAAAAGCUCUAUAGUUGAAGAUAAAUAUCAUGUACUACUUCUGUCUAUUUAUAUAUGUUUUGGUCUCUUUCCAAGCUUUGCUUUUCACAAGGUGAGUAAGCGCUUGCUUGCUUUGGGCACAUUGGCAAGCUAAAUUUUGUCUUACUUGCACAAGUGUAUACUAAAUUAAAGAAACAUAAAUAAGAUAACCUGGAUCCAUGGACUCUCUGUCUCUAGGUUAACGGAUCCAUAGACUCGGCAGAGCACAAUUCCUUCUGCGCUUCCCUUGCAGCCUUGUUGAAACACGAGAAGACAGCUCUCCUUUUGCUUGCGAACUUCCGGUAGUUUACCUGACGUCGGAGAAUCAGAGGAUGAAUUUGGACGCUAGUCAUCGUUGAAACCUGCUGCUGAGGAUAUAUACACACAAUUUUUAAACGAUAGCAUCCGUUGUAUACAGGAUUGUUCUGCUGAGAUGCUAGCUAAGCACAAGCUGAUAGUAUAUAUAUAUAGCAGUAGGGAUGAGUCAUUCGGAUAACUAUAUCUCGGGUGCUGCUAUGGAUAUAUAUGGCGUCUUGCUUUCAAUCAGAUAAAUCAUGCUGUCGGAUAUUCCAAUGCAUAGAUACAAG